rnacentral:rRNA from 1 species
GUGGGGAAUUUUGGACAAUGGGGGCAACCCUGAUCCAGCCAUGCCGCGUGCGGGAAGAAGGCCUUCGGGUUGUAAACCGCUUUUGUCAGGGAAGAAAUCCUUUGGGUUAAUACCUCGGAGGGAUGACGGUACCUGAAGAAUAAGCACCGGCUAACUACGUGCCAGCAGCCGCGGUAAUACGUAGGGUGCGAGCGUUAAUCGGAAUUACUGGGCGUAAAGCGUGCGCAGGCGGUUUUGUAAGAUCGAUGUGAAAUCCCCGGGCUCAACCUGGGAACUGCAUUGGUGACUGCAAGGCUGGAGUGCGGCAGAGGGGGAUGGAAUUCCGAGUGUAGCAGUGAAAUGCGUAGAUAUGCGGAGGAACACCGAUGGCGAAGGCAAUCCCCUGGGCCUGCACUGACGCUCAUGCACGAAAGCGUGGGGAGCAAACAGGAUUAGAAACCCUUGUAGUCC